rnacentral:rRNA from 1 species
CAUGCAGUCGAACGGUGAACACGGAGCUUGCUCUGUGGGAUCAGUGGCGAACGGGUGAGUAACACGUGAGCAACCUGCCCCUGACUCUGGGAUAAGCGCUGGAAACGGCGUCUAAUACUGGAUAUGUGACGUGACCGCAUGGUCUGCGUUUGGAAAGAUUUUUCGGUUGGGGAUGGGCUCGCGGCCUAUCAGCUUGUUGGUGAGGUAAUGGCUCACCAAGGCGUCGACGGGUAGCCGGCCUGAGAGGGUGACCGGCCACACUGGGACUGAGACACGGCCCAGACUCCUACGGGAGGCAGCAGUGGGGAAUAUUGCACAAUGGGCGCAAGCCUGAUGCAGCAACGCCGCGUGAGGGAUGACGGCCUUCGGGUUGUAAACCUCUUUUAGCAGGGAAGAAGCGAAAGUGACGGUACCUGCAGAAAAAGCGCCGGCUAACUACGUGCCAGCAGCCGCGGUAAUACGUAGGGCGCAAGCGUUAUCCGGAAUUAUUGGGCGUAAAGAGCUCGUAGGCGGUUUGUCGCGUCUGCUGUGAAAUCCGGAGGCUCAACCUCCGGCCUGCAGUGGGUACGGGCAGACUAGAGUGCGGUAGGGGAGAUUGGAAUUCCUGGUGUAGCGGUGGAAUGCGCAGAUAUCAGGAGGAACACCGAUGGCGAA